rnacentral:rRNA from 1 species
UCUUACGACGGAACUCUUCGGAGGGAAGAUGUAAAAGACUGAGUGGCGGACGGGUGAGUAACGCGUGGGUAACCUGCCCUAUACAGGGGGACAACAGUUGGAAACGACUGCUAAUACCGCAUAAGCGCACAGUACCGCAUGGUACAGAGCGAAAAACUCCGGUGGUAUAGGAUGGGCCCGCGUCUGAUUAGCUAGUUGGAGGUGUAACGGACCACCAAGGCGACGAUCAGUAGCCGGCUUGAGAGAGUGAACGGCCACAUUGGGACUGAGACACGGCCCAAACUCC